UAAGAAAAAUUAGCCAGGCACAGAAAGACAAAUACUACAUGACCUCAUUCAUAUGAUGAAUCUAAAAAGCUGAUCACAUAAAAACAGAGAAUAGAAGUGUGGUUACCAGGAGUUAGCGGGGUGAGGUAAAUUGGGAGUUGUUGGUCAAAG